CAUUUCUUCACAUCGGGGUAUGCUUCCAUGGAGGCGUGCUACUGAUGUUGAUGAUCUUUGCAUAGCGGAGCCAUAUCAUCCUGAUCGAGUUGCACGACAACUUACUUUGAGACAACAAGUGCCCUAUGCUCCGUUGGUCAGCGUGUACACAAAGGAGGAUACUGGCGUUGCAUAUGCGUAUUGGUCGCAUUUGUUACGCUCGGACCAAGGAGAGUUCCAGUACCUUCUUAAUGAUGCGCAUGAGGCAUUUUCUUCUGUGGCCUGGAACAAGUGGUGGGUGGGAUUUAUGAAACCAUUUAACAACAUAUUCAAUACUCUUCGUCCGGGCAAAUGGUCCGAAUUAUUAUCCGCGGAAACGUAAUUUUCCGAAACGCGGAGAGGAGUACAUAGUUCCUCGCAAGCUUUUAGAGAAUGAUUUUGUUGUUAUAAAGGAAGUCUCUGCCGGGGGUAAGGAGGAACAUAUUGCAGCCAUCAAAUUGAAUGGAAAGAGAAUUAUGGACCACUGGCGUCCCAUUUUGUGUGGCUUUCUCUCAAAUGAUGAACCUUUAAUUAACUCUAAAAAGAAGAAGCGAAAGGUUAAGGAUGCUGUCGCUACUCAACCCAUGAAAUCUAAAGAGCAAAGUGGCGUACCAAAGUCUGUUGUUGCAGUUGGUUCUUCCUCUGCUCAUCCAUUGCUAGUGGGUAGUGAUGAUCUUCCGGAAACUGCCCCGGCCACCGGCGGACAGAAGCGUAGAAAUUUAUCACCCACUCAUGCUGACGAGGAAGAGAGGCUCCCCCUCAAGCGCAAACUUGAUUUUUCCCAAGAAUAUGAUUUUUAUGAACCAAUAACAUUGGACAGUCAUUAGAUGUUGAACUCAGUAGCUUUGUUAACGAUGAAGAUUUUGGCCAUGUUCUCACUGGAGAAAAGGACCAUGGCCUUGGUGACCUCUUCAAUUUAUCCGUCGAGGAUUAUACCAUUGGCGAGUGUGGCAUAAGUCGUCCAUUUUCCAGCCCGGGUGUGACUGAAGCUGUGCCCCAUACCCCUAGUGCUCUUGAUUUCUUGUCAACUUUACCUGGUUGCGACCAAGAAAUUCGCCACUCACAAGACCCUGAGGUGAUGGUUGUAUCAGGGAAAGGCGCACAGAUGGACUGCAGUUUCAUCAAGGACACGUUUAUGGAUGCUACAGAUUUUGUAGUGAAACGAGCCCUCGAAGGACUGAACGACUCUACCCUUGGUGAUCCCGAGGGACGCACCAUGCUUGAGAGCGUUUCUCAAAUGCUGCCCACGCAAGUGCCUGAGGUAGCUAAGGUGCAGGCCAUGUUGGUCGGGCUUAUUAACCUUAGUUGGAGGGUGGCCAGACUGAAUUCACGAAGGAAUCCGAGCGAGAUGAACAUGUUGUUGCUGAAGUAGAACUUAAGAUUAAGUCUGGCCAUGAGGUUUCCAAGGCCACAAUUGAGGACUUAUCUGACGUAGAAAAGAAGUGCACUGAAAUGGAGGCACGGGAAGCAGAGCUGAAGGCUCAUCUUGAAGAGGUUACUGCUACUUUGCACAGGCUUAAAUUGGAAAUGGAACAGCGCCGACAAGCACAUGAUGACCAUCAAUCUGAACAGAAGAAGUUGGUGAAGAGUCUACAGGAUACCAAUGCUGGCAAACGUACAAGGCUUGCUGAAUUUAAACAAAAGACAACAGAUUUAAAGACUCAAGCAAGUCAGUUGUUGAACAACCUGCAGAACUAGCGAGCUCCUUGAGAAGGCCUAGGCUUCGCUUAGUUUUUUUAUUUAGCCAUUUCAAUUCAUCAUUUCUCUUUAAAUCAUUUUAUGUUCAGUACUCAGUUUCACUUCAAAUGUAGCAGUACUUUGUUUAUUCAC